UGCCUAAUACAUGCAAGUCGAGCGAACGGACGAGAAGCUUGCUUCUCUGAUGUUAGCGGCGGACGGGUGAGUAACACGUGGAUAACCUACCUAUAAGACUGGGAUAACUUCGGGAAACCGGAGCUAAUACCGGAUAAUAUUUUGAACCGCAUGGUUCAAAAGUGAAAGACGGUCUUGCUGUCACUUAUAGAUGGAUCCGCGCUGCAUUAGCUAGUUGGUAAGGUAACGGCUUACCAAGGCAACGAUGCAUAGCCGACCUGAGAGGGUGAUCGGCCACACUGGAACUGAGACACGGUCCAGACUCCUACGGGAGGCAGCAGUAGGGAAUCUUCCGCAAUGGGCGAAAGCCUGACGGAGCAACGCCGCGUGAGUGAUGAAGGUCUUCGGAUCGUAAAACUCUGUUAUUAGGGAAGAACAUAUGUGUAAGUAACUGUGCACAUCUUGACGGUACCUAAUCAGAAAGCCACGGCUAACUACGUGCCAGCAGCCGCGGUAAUACGUAGGUGGCAAGCGUUAUCCGGAAUUAUUGGGCGUAAAGCGCGCGUAGGCGGUUUUUUAAGUCUGAUGUGAAAGCCCACGGCUCAACCGUGGAGGGUCAUUGGAAACUGGAAAACUUGAGUGCAGAAGAGGAAAGUGGAGUUCCAUGUGUAGCGGUGAAAUGCGCAGAGAUAUGGAGGAACACCAGUGGCGAAGGCGACUUUCUGGUCUGUAACUGACGCUGAUGUGCGAAAGCGUGGGGAUCAAACAGGAUUAGAUACCCUGGUAGUCCACGCCAUAAACGAUAAGUGCUAAGUGUUAGGGGGUUUCCGCCCCUUAGUGCUGCAGCUAACGCAUUAAGCACUCCGCCUGGGGAGUACGACCGCAAGGUUGAAACUCAAAGGAAUUGACGGGGACCCGCACAAGCGGUGGAGCAUGUGGUUUAAUUCGAAGCAACGCGAAGAACCUUACCAACUCUUGACAUCCUUUGACAACUCUAGAGAUAGAGCCUUCCCCUUCGGGGGACAAAGUGACAGGUGGUGCAUGGUUGUCGUCAGCUCGUGUCGUGAGAUGUUGGGUUAAGUCCCGCAACGAGCGCAACCCUUAAGCUUAGUUGCCAUCAUUAAGUUGGGCACUCUAAGUUGACUGCCGGUGACAAACCGGAGGAAGGUGGGGAUGACGUCAAAUCAUCAUGCCCCUUAUGAUUUGGGCUACACACGUGCUACAAUGGACAAUACAAAGGGCAGCGAAACCGCGAGGUCAAGCAAAUCCCAUAAAGUUGUUCUCAGUUCGGAUUGUAGUCUGCAACUCGACUACAUGAAGCUGGAAUCGCUAGUAAUCGUAGAUCAGCAUGCUACGGUGAAUACGUUCCCGGGUCUUGUACACACCGCCCGUCACACCACGAGAGUUUGUAACACCCGAAGCCGGUGGAGUAACCUUUUAGGAGCUAGCCGUCGAAGGUGGGACAAAUGAUUGGGGUGAAGUCA
rnacentral:rRNA from 1 species